GUUAGCCAACUCUAUUAUUUUGCCUAGUCGAAUAAUUUCUAAAUUGGUUAACGAUAGAAAAUAGUUAGGCAUAAGGCGGUGAACUAUAUUCAGUACUUUUUUUGUGGCCAACAGCAGAGAAACUCUACAAAGCCUUAAAUUAAAAUUACUUCCAUUGACUGCACCGAGUGCAGCCAUCCGAAAUCGACACAAGAGAAGCUACGAAAGAGGAAUUACUGUCAGUGCACACACCUGAAUUAAGAGCUUCAACCCAAGAAGAACGAAGGAACAAGUCUGCCAUUGGCCACCAUUUGAGUAGCACAUGGCUAAGAAACUGAAUUUUGGUUAUCAUUGCUGCAUUUAAAAGAAAAAAUGCUAGAGCGAUUAAUAUCACGUCAACCAUUUGGACUAUUAUGUGGAAAAAGUUUAUAUGAAUCAACGUUAUUGGAUAGCAUUAAGGGCCCUGUUGAGAUGAGAAACGUUUCUUGGAAACUCGAAAUAAUAAACCAACCUGGUUUCCCAAUGGCAACCCAUGUUUACUACAUUACAAAAUAUUGACUGAUCUCCCACCACCUACGUGCUUUCAAUGACAUGGGCACUUAAAGGAGUUGGUACUUGUACAUAAGCUAGCAGAAAAAAUUUGAAAGAAAAUUUUCAAAGGAAUUUAAUGUGAUGAACUAAACAAACUGCACUUCAUCUCAUCGAAGUCAAAUGGAGGUCAGAGAAUGUGGGGAAUGAGUAUUGAUUACUGUCAUAUUUCUUUCCAACAUCUACUUUGUUAACUCUGGAGUACAUUUGAUCACUUCUGUAAUCCCCAACAUAAAGUCUAGUUCAGUAUAGAAAGGUAGUGAUCAGAGAGUAAACAGGGUAUGUGUUGAUGCAAUCACAGCACAAACAUGCCAUGGGGAUUGGUCAGUUUGUGACCCAGAUGCUAGUAUUUCUUCUAGCCAUCCUUUUCUGUUUAAGUUUGUGAAACUGGCAAUAUUUCCCAUUCACUGGCUACAGAAGCUAAUGCAUUUUCUAUUUUACCUGAGACAGUUUUAUCCAUCAAGAGGCUGGAGGACUACAGUAUUAAAGAAUUUUUCCUACCCCUGUGGCCUGUGGUAAAUUACCUGCAACAAUGUUGAAAAUGACAUUAUCAUACAACUUCGAAGUCUAGCAUCAUCAGUUGAUUCGUAGGUUGAAAUUCCGCGAAGGCUUUACACGUAUUCUAUAUUUUAAGUACUGACAGGUGACAUGUAAAGUUGAAUUUAUGCGUGGUGAUAACAUUAACUUAUGGAGAUUCGCUGGCAAAAAGUUGGGCAUCACCUCCGAUGUUCGAAGGUCCGAAAAGUGAUUCGCCUACUGCCACAUCAAGAUGAUUUUUCGUCGUGUCUAAGAUGUCGCUAGUUAUAUCCCUUGCUUCAAGCAUCAUUUGUUGAAAAAACCGUAUUGAUCCGAAGAUAACGAAGCAGACCUUAGAAAACGAAUUUAAUCUCUCGCACUUUUUGCUUUUUAUACCAGUAGCCGUGCGGCAAAUAAGCACAUACCAAAUGUGAUUGUAUUGCACGGUUUCUGGAGACAACUUACGUCAGCAACCUGUUAAGGAUAAAACAAAGGAAAACAUGGGAGUGUCGAAUUCUAGAUCUGCUGGAAAUCGCGUACCCAAAGAAAUUAAGUGUCGAAAACCCCCAUAUCCUUGCACUGUCGUCAAAUAUCUUUACAAAGGGAAAUAUUGAAAUACGAAAUGUUCAACCAUUCUAGCCGUGAAGAUCCCUUCAACGGAAUCCAUUUUUAAAACUUUCUGCUACCAUAGUAUUUUUGUUCCUCUUCCUGUGAAGGACCAACCAAACAUGAUGUUACUCUUGUGAUGGAUCUGGAUUAUUGGUAAGUUCUGCUUAUAUUUGCACCAAUCUUUACAAUACCUCUUUACUAAGGGAAAUAUUGAAAAAUUUAGUGAUUAGCCAUUUAAGUUUUGAAGAUUCCUUCAUUGUAAACAAAUUUAAUAAAUCUGGUAUAUUUCGUUGAAACCUUAAAGAAAUACUUCAUCUUAUCUUAUUUCUCUUAGAAUCUUUUCAUUGCUAGACUUAUUUCCUCUUAUCAUUAAGGAAUAACCCAACUUAAUGUUGCCUUGUGAUGGAUUUGGUUAUUGGUCGGAAAAUGGGAAGUGUCACCAACUAUCUGAUCGCUUUCAUCUUCGGUACGGAGCUUUUUAAAACCCGUGUUGAUUAAUUUUUUGUGGACAAUUUUUCGUCCAAGACUGGUUAACUUGCAUGGUCCCGCGGUUACGCUAAAAACUGGGACACGUCCGUGUCAGUGGCUGAAAGAGAGCGACCCGGACCCAUCCAGUUGGCUUCUAGCCUGUCUGGUAUGAGUUUUCUCGACUUUAUUCGUACGUUUACAGCAAUUGAAUGUGUCCAUCUGAAUAUGGAAGCCAGUCGAUACGAGCCCAUUCUGCAAGGCAGAGCUAAACUAAAAUUGCCUUGAGAAAGUGAAUAAUUGCAUGCAGAAUCGUAUCUUCGUUAAAUUUUUUUUUAGUUUCGUGGAUCAUUCGUGUCUAUUAAGGAUUUCGGCAAAGAGGACUUACUACUGGCCGAUAUCGCAACAAUUCUGGUAAGAAUCAACCUUUUAUUUAUUCAUUUUAAAAACACAUCAACACAUGCCAGUUACACGAGAUGGACUAGCAACAUUCUUUUGAUGGAUAAUCGAUUAAAUUUUUGUGGCUAUUGUCAUGGAAAACUACGUCAGCAGUGCAGUGCUGAGUUUGUCUCUAUUUUGCCCGUAAGCAGGAAAAAGGUUGAAACAGUAGUGGAAUUAGAGAAAAUUGACGUAAAACCAGUUUUGAAAAUGUCGAGCACGGAAUAAGUGAACGAUUUUACCAGUUGUUCGUUGUGACCAACAAAUACGAAAGCUAUGUCCCUCGGCUCAAUCUUCCAAUUAAUCUAAAAAAAGCCGACGAUGUUAUGUGACUUAGCAAUCUCUGUAACCGAAGAUGCAGCAAGCUACUUCAUCUUGUGUCCGGAGCAUUGGCAAUAUCCUAAGAAGGGAAUAUUACGAAUUAGUUUCCCUAGCCACAUGUUGAAAUCUGUUGUUUUCUAGUUUGGUCAAUGACACUGAUGUAUGCGGUUAUCCUUAAGUUCGGGAAGUCUUUGAAGAGACUGGAGAAUCCUAUCUUAUUCACAAACAGAAGUCUCAAGCGUAACUGAAUUUGACUGCCAUGACUCAGCAAGCUGGACUUUUACCAGUUAGACUUCAGUCAACUUGUAAUCAGUCCAACAUGAAUUGAUGCAGCAGCAAUACUCCGGACACACUGCUGAAAGACCACACACACGGCAGAAGCCGGCGAGAUCAUUGCAGCCAAUAAAAAUGCCCUUAAAAAACAAUCACAUGUGUACAUAUAUUAUUUCCCUCGUAUUUUGCUGUUUUAUUCGACUGCCAAUUGAUUCUCCGGUGUCACUUGUCCCAUGACUUUGAAGUUGAAAAAAUCAUUUACAACUCGCGUUGGUUGUAAAUUUGGAUAACAGAUGGCGCAGUUGCGCCUUUGUUUUGUGAAAAAACUAAGUGUGACAUGUGAAACCUAUGUUCGAAUAUUUGUGAACUAUGUUACAUUCCAGUGAUAAGUUUGUUAAAAUUAAAUGGUGUGAUUUCAACUUUUGAGAGUUUUUCAGUCUUUCCUGUGUUUUUGAAGUGAUAAACAUCAAGUGGAUUAUUUUGUGUGCAACGAGUAAACUUGUGAUCAGCUAUGCCAGAUCCAAACCAUUACUUUUACAUUCCCAUCAUGCUAUUCUAUUGCACGUUAAAGAAGUAGUUGGUGAAACCUAAAUAGAAAAAGAUACUAACCGUGAGGAAAGGUUAGAAAUGACACAAACCAUAUGAGUUGGAAUACCACCAUAACGUCAUUCUGCCACUCUUUACUCAUUCAUCAUGUCCUGUCAAUUUUGAUCUGAAAAGUGCACCAUAUAUUGUGUUGCAAAUCAAUAACCAUAACAAUUUCAACAAUCUUCUCGUCAUUUCUACUUAGCCUAUCAAGUGGCAGGAUUUUGAGUUGCAGAGUGUGCUCAUGUAUCUAAAAUGAAAAGAAUGCUGACAUCGAAGGAAGAUCAUCAACAAUGCAAAAUCAAUGGAUUGGAAUACCUCAUGCCAUUCUAUACUCUUUGCCCACUCAUCAUCUCAUCCAACACAUGUCUUCGCCUCGCCUGUCGCCCAGUCUUGGCUUCGCCCGUCGCCCAGUCUUGGCUUGACCCAUCGCCCCAUCUUCGCUUUGCCCGUCGCCCGGUCUUCGCUUCGCCCGUCACCCCGUCUUCACUCCGCCCGUCGCCUCGUCUUCACUUCGCCCCGUCAUCACCUCGUCUUAGUGGUAUCAUUGUAUUUUGUAACGUGUAAUUGUGUAGUGUUAAUUAACCCGUUGGCUGCCACCCACUUUGAUCCCCCCUUUUUUUUAAAGCUUGUUAGGGUCCGGCAGCGCUGUUCUACCCAAUGGUCUAUAUGCCAUGGGUGGGACAGUUGCACAAGCCGUGUGGCUCAAAGUCGAUCGUCGAGGCAAUGCACCAUUAGGGAAUUCCCCCUUGUCGAUGUGGUGGUGGUUUCCUGGGGUGUGCAUUCCCAUAACGGCUUCCACCAUCAUGUCAGCCCGGACUUGUCUUCGGACAAGUCCCCCUUUGUCGUAAUCCUUUUGAUCACGAUGUAGCUAGAGUAGAUAUGUAGUGGCGUGGCAGCCAACGGGUUAGUUUUAUGUAUGUAUGUAUUUUUUGUAUUGUAUUGUAUUAUGAAAUGUAAAUAUUAGUGGUGGA